UACGAGAGGCCCAAACGUUAUUCGGAUUUACUGGGCUUAAAGAGUUCGUAGGCGGCUUGGUAAGUGGGGUGUGAAAGCCCUCGGCUCAACCGAGGAAUUGCGCUCCAAACUACCGAGCUUGAGUAGGCUAGAGGUGAGCAGAACUGAUGGUGGAGCGGUGAAAUGCGUUGAUAUCAUCAGGAAUGCCGGAGGCGAAGGCGGCUCACUGGGACCUAACUGACGCUGAGGAACGAAAGCUAGGGGAGCAAACGGG
rnacentral:rRNA from 1 species